rnacentral:rRNA from 1 species
CCUACGGGCGGCAGCAGUGGGGAAUAUUGCGCAAUGGGCGAAAGCCUGACGCAGCGACGCCGCGUGAGGGAUGAAGGUCUUCGGAUCGUAAACCUCUGUCAGCAGGGAAGAACGGUCACUGUGCUAAUCAGCAGUGCAUUGACGGUACCUGCAAAGGAAGCACCGGCUAACUCCGUGCCAGCAGCCGCGGUAAUACGGAGGGUGCGAGCGUUAAUCGGAAUUACUGGGCGUAAAGCGCUCGUAGGCGGUAUGUCAAGUCAAGGGUGAAAUCCCCGCGCUCAACGUGGGAACUGCCUUUGAAACUGGCAAACUGGAGUGUGGGAGAGGAUAGUGGAAUUCCAGGGGUAGGAGUGAAAUCCGUUGAUAUCUGGAGGAACAUCAGUGGCGAAGGCGACUAUCUGGCACAUAACUGACGCUGAGGAGCGAAAGCGUGGGUAGCAAACAGGAUUAGAUACCCCAGUAGUC